rnacentral:rRNA from 1 species
ACGGGAGGCAGCAGUAGGGAAUCUUCCGCAAUGGACGAAAGUCUGACGGAGCAACGCCGCGUGAGUGAUGAAGGUUUUCGGAUCGUAAAACUCUGUUGUUAGGGAAGAACAAGUAUCGGAGUAACUGCCGGUACCUUGACGGUACCUAACCAGAAAGCCACGGCUAACUACGUGCCAGCAGCCGCGGUAAUACGUAGGUGGCAAGCGUUGUCCGGAAUUAUUGGGCGUAAAGCGCGCGCAGGCGGUUCCUUAAGUCUGAUGUGAAAGCCCACGGCUCAACCGUGGAGGGUCAUUGGAAACUGGGGAACUUGAGUGCAGAAGAGGAAAGUGGAAUUCCAAGUGUAGCGGUGAAAUGCGUAGAGAUUUGGAGGAACACCAGUGGCGAAGGCGACUUUCUGGUCUGUAACUGACGCUGAGGCGCGAAAGCGUGGGGAGCAAACAGGAUUAGAUACCCUGGUA